rnacentral:rRNA from 1 species
ACGCAGGCGGUCUGUUAAGCUAGAUGUGAAAGCCCCGCGCUCAACGUGGGAGGGUCAUUUAGAACUGGCAGACUAGAGUCUUGGAGAGGGGACUGGAAUUCCAGGUGUAGCGGUGAAAUGCGUAGAGAUCUGGAGGAACAUCAAUGGCGAAGGCAACUCCCUGGCCAAAGACUGACGCUCAUGUGCGAAAGUGUGGGUAGCGAACAGGAUUAGAUACCCUGGUAGUCCACACCGUAAACGCUGUCUACUAGCUGUUUGUGAUUUAAU